rnacentral:snRNA from 1 species
GGCACGGAAAAUACGUUCCGAA